rnacentral:rRNA from 1 species
UACGAAGGGGGCGAGCGUUGUUCGGAUUUACUGGGCGUAAAGCGCACGUAGGCGGAUUUGUAAGUCAGGGGUGAAAUCCCGGGGCUCAACCUCGGAACUGCCUUUGAUACUGCAAAUCUCGAGUCCGGAGGAGGUGAGUGGAAUUCCUAGUGUAGAGGUGAAAUUCGUAGAUAUUAGGAAGAACACCAGUGGCGAAGGCGGCUCACUGGUCCGGUACUGACGCUGAGGUGCGAAAGCGUGGGGAGCAAACAGG